GGGCUGGUAGCUGAGACGGUAUAGCGGCGGUUUGAAGCACCGCAUACGAGGAUUCGAGCGCCUCCCAGCCCAC
rnacentral:tRNA from 1 species